ensembl:misc_RNA Y_RNA Y RNA
GGCUGGUCUGAUGGCAGUGGGUUAUCAGAACUUAUUAAUAUUAGUGUCACUAAAGUUGGUAUACCACCCCCCCCACUGCUAAAUUUGACUGGCUUAAA